rnacentral:rRNA from 1 species
ACUCAAAGGAAUUGACGGGGGCCCGCACAAGCGGUGGAGCAUGUGGUUUAAUUCGACGCAACGCGCAGAACCUUACCAGCCCUUGACAUCCCGGUCGCGGACUCCAGAGAUGGAGUUCUUCAGUUCGGCUGGACCGGAGACAGGUGCUGCAUGGCUGUCGUCAGCUCGUGUCGUGAGAUGUUGGGUUAAGUCCCGCAACGAGCGCAACCCCCGUCCUUAGUUGCUACCAUUUAGUUGAGCACUCUAAGGAGACUGCCGGUGAUAAGCCGCGAGGAAGGUGGGGAUGACGUCAAGUCCUCAUGGCCCUUACGGGCUGGGCUACACACGUGCUACAAUGGCGGUGACAAUGGGAUGCUAAGGGGCGACCCUUCGCAAAUCUCAAAAAGCCGUCUCAGUUCGGAUUGGGCUCUGCAACUCGAGCCCAUGAAGUUGGAAUCGCUAGUAAUCGUGGAUCAGCACGCCACGGUGAAUACGUUCCCGGGCCUUGCACACACCGCCCGU